CGGUGUUUAACUGGCGUGAUGUGGGACGUCCUACCGGUGGGCUUAGCCUCGCGAGGGGCGGCCCAACUAAUAUCCCGUCGCGGUGCUCUUUACUGAGUGUCGAGUCGGGCCGGUACGUUUACUUUGAACAAAUUAGAGUGCUUAAAGCAGGCUAUCCUCGCCUGAAUACUGCGUGCAUGGAAUAAUGGAAUAGGACCUCGGUUCUAUUUUGUUGGUUUUCGGAACCCCGAGGUAAUGAUUAAUAGGGACAGAUGGGGGCAUUCGUAUUGCGACGUUAGAGGUGAAAUUCUUGGAUCGUCGCAAGACGGACAGAAGCGAAAGCAUUUGCCAAAAAUGUUUUCAUUAAUCAAGAACGAAAGUUAGAGGUUCGAAGGCGAUCAGAUACCGCCCUAGUUCUAACCAUAAACGAUGCCAGCUAGCGAUCCGCCGAAGUUCCUCCGAUGACUCGGCGGGCAGCUUCCGGGAAACCAAAGCUUUUGGGUUCCGGGGGAAGUAUGGUUGCAAAGCUGAAACUUAAAGGAAUUGACGGAAGGGCACCACCAGGAGUGGAGCCUGCGGCUUAAUUUGACUCAACACGGGAAACCUCACCAGGCCCAGACACCGGAAGGAUUGACAGAUUGAUAGCUCUUUCUUGAUUCGGUGGGGUGGGUGGUGCAUGGCCGUUUUUAGUUGGUGGAGAGAUUUGUCUGGUUAAUUCUGAUAACGAACGAGACUCUAGCCUGCUAAAUAGGCGUACCUUAUGGUAUCGCGAAGGCCCCCGGCUUCGGCCGGUGGGUUUUUACUACCAACGUACAAACAAAUCUUCUAGAGGGACAGGCGG
rnacentral:rRNA from 1 species